GGCGGUGUGGUCGAGUGGCUUAGGCAACGGCCUGCAAAGCCGUGUACACCGGUUCGAUUCCGGUCACCGCCU
rnacentral:tRNA from 1 species